rnacentral:misc_RNA from 1 species
CUCAGUAACCCUCUUAAUCCACCCCUCACUCCGUUCCUGACACUAAGUAGCAACUACUCCACAGAUUUUAAUUAAACUAAAGCACCAUGCUGCCCAAAGAGUAUACAUAUAUCUAUACAUUUGAUUAUAACUCUUGGUACGUCUUGAAACAACUCUUAUGGACCUUUCUCUGGCCUUUCCUACUGAGAAACAAAAGGGUAUAAAGAUCGAAAAGCAAGAGAGAUCGAAAAGCAAGAGAGAUGUGAGAGCUCAACUUUUUCACCCGUGACAAAUAUACUUGGGCAAAGUGAAGCUCUCUAAUGCGAGGCUGAACCAUUUGACUUUUUCUCCGCUGCAGCAUCCCAUGUUUCUUCAGGACUCCCUCCUCCUCCAUAUGGAGCAGAAGCAGCUGCUCCAACAUUGAAACUGCCACCGUAGGAAUUUAGAAAAGCAGAGCCAGCACCUAUGCCGAGCCCAAGAAGAUCAAGCGUGGUGGGCUUGUUCCCAAACAAUGGAGAUGCACCCAUCAUAACAUCCCCGGAGGGAAGUCCGAGGCCGAGCCCAGAUGCCACAAUAUUUGUAUCUGGCUUCACAUCCCGUUGAUUGCCGUUGAUAUCUUGACCUGAAGAAGAAGAUACUGGCAAUCCCAAGCCAUGGAGAAAUGAUGAGUUCGACGAUGUUGCACCCAUUUGUGCUGCUUUUUGAAGCAACGCGGUAGCAGACAUGGGAAGUUGGGGAGGAGUAUAGUGUCGAUGGUCUUGGUCUGGGAAGAGGGAGGAGGCAUUGCUGGAGAGAUAAAGAGAAGAGGAAAGUGAAAGAGAUGGAGGUUCUAUGGCUCUAGGUGUUGGUAUUGUAGUUGGGUAAUCUGAGUGAGUUAAGGCGCAAAAAAGGCUGGGAAACAAGGCUGAUGAUGCAUGGGAUGCUGCUUGUGAGAUUGCCGCUGCUAUUGAUGAGGAUGCGAAUACACUGGCAAAUACAUUGCUGAUAGAGCUGGUGGAGCUGGUACUCGUAACUGUGGCAGUCAAGCAUGUAGUUGCUGGCGUUGCCGCUGAAAGUCCAACUGGAUUUUCUGUUAAUUCUGAGCUUUGAACUGAUGACAGACCCGGAGAAACCACAGUGGUUGAUGGCGUAAGAGGUGGAGGAGAUGGUGAAGCAACCACGCUCUUCACAUUCGUAUUCCCCUCCUUACCCAAAAUCGUUAGGGUUCGUGCCCUUGCACUCUCCUCCGCCAAUGCAUCACAGAACGCUCUAUGCGUUAUGAAGCUAUCCCUCCUUGACUCCCAAAGCAAAAAAAAAGAAAACCAAACAGAAAUAUCAGUAAACCAACAUGAGAGACCCUGAAAGAAGCAAUAAAGUAGAAUCAGAUAUAAAAGGAUUAAGAACCUGGAGAACAAAGUGCCACAAUCGCAUUUAUACUCUCGAGUGCCACAAGUCUUCAUGUGGGCCUUCCAAUCGGACUGAACUGCAUAUUUCUUCGAGCACCUCUCGCAUUUCCACUUCUUCUCACCGUGCUUUCUGCAAAAGUGCUUCUUGAUGCCAGUGAGGUCUCCCAGAGCUCUAGCUGGAUUAUGGUGAACACAAGUUGGUUCUGGGCACACGUAGACCCGCUUGCGUGGCUCCUUAGUGGUUCGCUGCUUUAGUUUCCAUGGUAAGUUAUGGCCGCGGCGGUGAAGCUGGAGGUUUUGAUCGCGUUGGAAGCCUUUGUUACAGAUCUCGCACACAAAACGGUUUGCAGUUAAUAGGGUCUUUGGCGAUAACGCAACCACUUCAGCAUCUGGAUCUGGCGUUCCAGGAAGGUUUCGCUUCUUCUUUGGUGGCGGCACUGAGGGUAGCGCCUCUUGAUUGCCAAAAGAAGAUACACUGGUGGCUUCUCCAGAAGCAAUAGAAAUUGUCAUUUGUGAAGAAUUCUCAACUUCCACCAUUCUGUUUCCUUCAACGCUAAAUCAACCUCAAGUUGACUACACCAUUCCAGUUCUCGAUUAAAAAGCUCAACUGCCAAGGGAAAUGGUGAACCCAACCAAACAAGCUACACCAACCUAUUCUGGAUGAAUGAAUCGUAAGUUACCCAAAAUAACAAUUAACUACAAUUGAUGUUUGGAUACAGAGAACUCUGAUUCUGUCUCCGCAAUUGGAUCAUUCCAGAGGAAAAAGAAAAGAACCUAUUUCCACAAAAUUCUACUCUCUGAACUCCCUCACAGUGAAGAGAAACAGAACACCGAUUCAACUAUGUCCGUGACCGGUGGUUCACGGUCCCAAAAAGCGGCUGCCUCAGUUCACACUCAUCUCUGUAGAGAGAGAGAGAGAGAUACGGAAGCAAUAACAUGAAGCAGAACGA